rnacentral:rRNA from 1 species
CACGUAGGAGGCGAGCGUUGUCCGGAAUCAUUGGGCGUAAAGAGCGCGCAGGCGGCUUGGCAAGUCGGGUGUGAAAUCCCGGGGCUCAACCCCGUGACUGCAUUCGAUACUGUCAGGCUAGAGGUAGGUAGGGGAGAUCGGAAUUCCUGGUGUAGCGGUGAAAUGCGCAGAUAUCAGGAGGAACACCGGUGGCGAAGGCGGCCACCUGGACGGAUACUGACGCUGAGACGCGAAAGCGUGGGGAGCAAACAGG